GGGUUGUGAGGUUAAGCGACUAAGCGUACACGGUGGAUGCCCUGGCAGUCAGAGGCGAUGAAGGACGUGCUAAUCUGCGAUAAGCGUCGGUAAGGUGAUAUGAACCGUUAUAACCGGCGAUUUCCGAAUGGGGAAACCCAGUGUGAUUCGUCACACUAUCAUUACGUGAAUACAUAGCGUAAUGAAGCGAACCGGGGGAACUGAAACAUCUAAGUACCCCGAGGAAAAGAAAUCAACCGAGAUUCCCCCAGUAGCGGCGAGCGAACGGGGAGCAGCCCAGAGUCUGAAUCAGCUUGUGUGUUAGUGGAACGGUCUGGAAAGUCCGACGGUACAGGGUGAUAGUCCCGUACACCAAAAUGCACAGGUUGUGAACUCGAAGAGUAGGGCGGGACACGUGGUAUCCUGUCUGAAUAUGGGGGGACCAUCCUCCAAGGCUAAAUACUCCUGACUGACCGAUAGUGAACCAGUACCGUGAGGGAAAGGCGAAAAGAACCCCGGCGAGGGGAGUGAAAAAGAACCUGAAACCGUGUACGUACAAGCAGUGGGAGCAUCCUUUUGGGUGUGACUGCGUACCUUUUGUAUAAUGGGUCAGCGACUUAUAUUCUGUAGCAAGGUUAACCGUAUAGGGGAGCCGAAGGGAAACCGAGUCUUAACUGGGCGUUAAGUUGCAGGGUAUAGACCCGAAACCCGGUGAUCUAGCCAUGGGCAGGUUGAAGGUUGGGUAACACUAACUGGAGGACCGAACCGACUAAUGUUGAAAAAUUAGCGGAUGACUUGUGGCUGGGGGUGAAAGGCCAAUCAAACCGGGAGAUAGCUGGUUCUCCCCGAAAGCUAUUUAGGUAGCGCCUCGUGAACUCAUCUUCGGGGGUAGAGCACUGUUUCGGCUAGGGGGUCAUCCCGACUUACCAACCCGAUGCAAACUGCGAAUACCGAAGAAUGUUAUCACGGGAGACACACGGCGGGUGCUAACGUCCGUCGUGAAGAGGGAAACAACCCAGACCGCCAGCUAAGGUCCCAAAGUCAUGGUUAAGUGGGAAACGAUGUGGGAAGGCACAGACAGCCAGGAUGUUGGCUUAGAAGCAGCCAUCAUUUAAAGAAAGCGUAAUAGCUCACUGGUCGAGUCGGCCUGCGCGGAAGAUGUAACGGGGCUAAACCAUGCACCGAAGCUGCGGCAGCGACACUAUGUGUUGUUGGGUAGGGGAGCGUUCUGUAAGCCGUUGAAGGUGUAUUGUGAGGUAUGCUGGAGGUAUCAGAAGUGCGAAUGCUGACAUAAGUAACGAUAAUGCGGGUGAAAAACCCGCACGCCGGAAGACCAAGGGUUCCUGUCCAACGUUAAUCGGGGCAGGGUGAGUCGACCCCUAAGGCGAGGCCGAAAGGCGUAGUCGAUGGGAAACAGGUUAAUAUUCCUGUACUUGGUGUUACUGCGAAGGGGGGACGGAGAAGGCUAUGUUAGCCGGGCGACGGUUGUCCCGGUUUAAGCAUGUAGGCGGAGGUUCCAGGUAAAUCCGGUACCUUUUUAACGCUGAGGUGUGAUGACGAGGCACUACGGUGCUGAAGUAACAAAUGCCCUGCUUCCAGGAAAAGCCUCUAAGCAUCAGGUAACACGAAAUCGUACCCCAAACCGACACAGGUGGUCAGGUAGAGAAUACCAAGGCGCUUGAGAGAACUCGGGUGAAGGAACUAGGCAAAAUGGUGCCGUAACUUCGGGAGAAGGCACGCUGAUAUGUAGGUGAAGUGAUUUACUCAUGGAGCUGAAAUCAGUCGAAGAUACCAGCUGGCUGCAACUGUUUAUUAAAAACACAGCACUGUGCAAACACGAAAGUGGACGUAUACGGUGUGACGCCUGCCCGGUGCCGGAAGGUUAAUUGAUGGGGUUAUCCGUAAGGAGAAGCUCUUGAUCGAAGCCCCGGUAAACGGCGGCCGUAACUAUAACGGUCCUAAGGUAGCGAAAUUCCUUGUCGGGUAAGUUCCGACCUGCACGAAUGGCGUAAUGAUGGCCAGGCUGUCUCCACCCGAGACUCAGUGAAAUUGAACUCGCUGUGAAGAUGCAGUGUACCCGCGGCAAGACGGAAAGACCCCGUGAACCUUUACUAUAGCUUGACACUGAACACUGGUCCUUGAUGUGUAGGAUAGGUGGGAGGCUUUGAAGUGUGGACGCCAGUCUGCAUGGAGCCAUCCUUGAAAUACCACCCUUUAAUGGCUGGUGUUCUAACGUGGACCCGUAAUCCGGGUUGCGGACAGUGUCUGGUGGGUAGUUUGACUGGGGCGGUCUCCUCCUAAAGAGUAACGGAGGAGCACGAAGGUUAGCUAAUCCUGGUCGGACAUCAGGAGGUUAGUGCAAAGGCAUAAGCUAGCUUGACUGCGAGAGUGACGGCUCGAGCAGGUGCGAAAGCAGGUCUUAGUGAUCCGGUGGUUCUGAAUGGAAGGGCCAUCGCUCAACGGAUAAAAGGUACUCCGGGGAUAACAGGCUGAUACCGCCCAAGAGUUCAUAUCGACGGCGGUGUUUGGCACCUCGAUGUCGGCUCAUCACAUCCUGGGGCUGAAGUAGGUCCCAAGGGUAUGGCUGUUCGCCAUUUAAAGUGGUACGCGAGCUGGGUUUAGAACGUCGUGAGACAGUUCGGUCCCUAUCUGCCGUGGGCGCUGGAGAAUUGAGGGGGGCUGCUCCUAGUACGAGAGGACCGGAGUGGACGCAUCACUGGUGUUCGGGUUGUCAUGCCAAUGGCAUUGCCCGGUAGCUAAAUGCGGAAGAGAUAAGUGCUGAAAGCAUCUAAGCACGAAACUUGCCCCGAGAUGAGUUCUCCCUGAGACUUUAAGUCUCCUGAAGGAACGUUGAAGACGACGACGUUGAUAGGUCGGGUGUGUAAGUGUAGCGAUACAUUGAGCUAACCGAUACUAAUGAACCGUGAGGCUUAACCUUACAACGCCGAAG
rnacentral:rRNA from 1 species